UGACCUGCACAAAAUGGCAAGCAGGCAGAUUCUCCCUGAUGGUGGAUGGUGUGGAACCUACAGUGAAUGGGUGGAAGGGAGGGAAAUAAAGAUAAGCGGCUCCAACCUGAGAUUUUGCGAAAGGAUUGCUGAUUUAGCAAUUUUUGAAAAUUCCAGGUUGGAGGAAAUAAAAGGACCAAACUUGUUUUGGGGAUGGGACCUGUGCGAAGCCCCCCCCCCCCCCCCCGCCAAAAAAAACACAACCAGUUUGGAUUGUGCCAUUAUAUUUGCCCUGUGCAGAAUCUACCUUUCACUUACAAGGACUUUUUUCUUUCUCUUCAGCGCAAUCUCAAGGACGAAUGAACUCUACCAGUUCUGUAUACGAUUUGCCUGAAGAAGACUCUUGGGAAAAACACAUAGGGAAUUUUUGUAUGAAUAAUAAAUAUAUUUUAACUAUAUUGUA